rnacentral:rRNA from 2 species
UUAUUGGGCGUAAGAGCUCGUAGGCGGUUUGUCGCGUCUGCUGUGAAAACUGGGGGCUCAACCCCCAGCCUGCAGUGGGUACGGGCAGACUAGAGUGCGGUAGGGGAGAUUGGAAUUCCUGGUGUAGCGGUGGAAUGCGCAGAUAUCAGGAGGAACACCGAUGGCGAAGGCAGAUCUCUGGGCCGUAACUGACGCUGAGGAGCGAAAGGGUGGGGAGCAAACAGGCUUAGAUACCCUGGUAGUCCACCCCGUAAACGUUGGGAACUAGUUGUGGGGUCCAUUCCACGGAUUCCGUGACGCAGCUAACGCAUUAAGUUCCCCGCCUGGGGAGUACGGCCGCAAGGCUAAAACUCAAAGGAAUUGACGGGGACCCGCACAAGCGGCGGAGCAUGCGGAUUAAUUCGAUGCAACGCGAAGAACCUUACCAAGGCUUGACAUAUACGAGAACGGGCUAGAAAUAGUCAACUCUUUGGACACUCGUAAACAGGUGGUGCAUGGUUGUCGUCAGCUCGUGUCGUGAGAUGUUGGGUUAAGUCCCGCAACGAGCGCAACCCUCGUUCUAUGUUGCCAGCACGUAAUGGUGGGAACUCAUGGGAUACUGCCGGGGUCAACUCGGAGGAAGGUGGGGAUGACGUCAAAUCAUCAUGCCCCUUAUGUCUUGGGCUUCACGCAUGCUACAAUGGCCGGUACAAAGGGCUGCAAUACCGUAAGGUGGAGCGAAUCCCAAAAAGCCGGUCCCAGUUCGGAUUGAGGUCUGCAACUCGACCUCAUGAAGUCGGAGUCGCUAGUAAUCGCAGAUCAGCAACGCUGCGGUGAAUACGUUCCCGGGUCUUGUACACACCGCCCGUCAAGUCAUGAAAGUCGGUAACACCUGAAGCCGGUGGCCCAACCCUUGUGGAGGGAGCCGUCGAAGUGGGAUCGGU